rnacentral:pre_miRNA from 1 species
ACAAUAUUUGGACUGUCGGUCUACUGAGCAAUAUCACCCGCUCGGUGGAAGAUCGUCAAAAAUUUU